rnacentral:tRNA from 1 species
AUUUUAGUAGUUUAUAAAAAAUAUUGAUUUUGUAAUUCAAUGAAAUCUUUCCAGGUUUAAAAUAUCAGUAAAAAUG